AUACGUAGGGGGCGAGCGUUGUCCGGAAUGAUUGGGCGUAAAGGGCGCGUAGGCGGCGCGGUAAGUCUGGAGUGAAAGUCCUGCUUUCAAGGUGGGAAUUGCUUUGGAUACUGCCGCGCUUGAGUGCAGGAGAGGUUAUCGGAAUUCCCGGUGUAGCGGUGAAAUGCGUAGAGAUCGGGAGGAACACCAGUGGCGAAGGCGGGUAACUGGACUGCAACUGACGCUGAGGCGCGAAAGUGUGGGGAGCAAACAGGAUUAGAUACCCUGGCAGUCCACACUGUAAACGAUGAAUGCUAGGUGUAAGAGGUAUCGACCCCUUUUGUGCCGGAGUCAACACAAUAAGCAUUCCGCCUGGGGAGUACGGCCGCAAGGUUGAAACUCAAAGGAAUUGACGGGG
rnacentral:rRNA from 1 species